CACGGGGGGAGCAAGCGUUGUUCGGAUUCAUUGGGCGUAAAGCGCGCGUAGGCGGCUAUCUAAGUCGGAUGUGAAAGCCCCUGGCUUAACUGGGGAAGUGCACCCGAAACUGGGUAGCUAGAGUGCGAAAGAGGGUCGCGGAAUUCCCGGUGUAGAGGUGAAAUUCGUAGAUAUCGGGAGGAACACCGGUGGCGAAGGCGGCGACCUGGGUCGACACUGACGCUGAGGCGCGAAAGCGUGGGGAGCAAACAGG
rnacentral:rRNA from 1 species